GUAGCGUCGUAGUGUUAACGUUUCCAAAAAUGCUUUUGUGUCAAAAGGUUUCCCUCAGAAAGACCCGGUUCAAAGUGCGGACAGCUUCCUUCGCAUUCAAAAUCCAUUGGCGAAUAUAGGACAGUAGACAUAUUCAAAUGAAAAAAAAAAAAAACUCCAGUGGAGAAAUAAAGUACGCGCUGGAACUUGAAUAACUGAUGAUGAGGAAACGAUGCCAUAUAGAAAACAAUAUAUCUGUGACGGAUUAUGAAGAACCUGCUUAACGUAAGAUUGGAGUUCACCUUGGCAUGAUAUUCAUAUGAAAAAAGAAGCCCUAAGAUGUCGCACAUUAGAGCUCCGAUGCAAGAUAAAGAAAGAGAAGUAUCAGAAGUAGAGUUAAAUCGAUUCACCUUUCGUUUGAUUAAGCUUUGUUGCCGGCCUGAAUGGAAUGAUUCCAGUCGCAAGAUUGAUUUUGAUGUACAUUGAGAAGACUAUUAUCUAUCAGAAAAAAAGUUUUUUUUCUGCAUUGGAAGUAGAACAUGCUAUCUUGGCAUACAGAAUAAUAAUACCUUAUUAUUUUAAAAAUGAGGAUAGUUCCAAUUUCUGAAAGUUAAGAUGUUUUACAAUGAGGCUUAAGUAGUUUUGUCAAGUUGUCAACGAAUUUGAUCUUAAAAGACUAUACUGAAUAUACUUAGACUUAAUCAUAUUUUCGAGUCCCUGUGCUCUAUUGAUUUUUAUCAAUGAAUCAAUUUUAUUAACAAGAAAAUUAGCUUUUUAUCAAAAUUGCUUUCAAAGAUUUCAAAAUUCAAAUUUAAUCAGACAACUGAAAUAUUUAUAUAGUUCUAAUAACUUUAGGUGUUAUUUGACUUUUGUAAUCUUCAGUCUACUUUUGUUUACUAAGAGCCUCAUUUUUAAAUCUCACUCUCAUCAAUGUAAAGGUAUCGCCAUUAAUGAAACUUCAUCGAUGUAAUUAUUACUAGGUUGUGUAAUUUCAAUUGUAGUCGUGUUAGAUUCAU